CUUCUCUAGCAAGGGAACAAAGAAGAGAAGGGGUGGAUAAAAUGAUUCUUUCAUUUUUAAAAAAUCAUGUCCCUGGGCUCUUUAAAGCAAAAGUGAGGCCUUCUUUGAAGCAAGACAAUGAUCCCCAGAUUGCUGGUGAGAGACGGACAAGCACUCCAUGCUCAGCUAUUCUUAGGACCAAAAUUGCUGAGAGCUCUGCCAGCAGUUACUGGCCUUGAUUGGGAAACGAGAAGAUUCUGGGCGCAAUGAUCUGGGCUCUACGUAAGCAGGCUCAGAUGCUUGCUGCCCAUCCUGGGGCUAACCUCUCUGGGAAGGUGAGUUCAUGCUCUAUUC
rnacentral:lncRNA from 1 species